rnacentral:rRNA from 1 species
AUUCCCUAGUAGCGGCGAGCGAGCGGGAAGAGCUCAAAUUUAUAAUCUGGCACCUUCGGUGUCCGAGUUGUAAUCUCUAGAAGUGUUUUCCGCGUUGGACCGCACACAAGUCUGUUGGAAUACAGCGGCAUAGUGGUGAAACCCCCGUAUAUGGUGCGGACGCCCAGCGCUUUGUGAUACACUUUCAAUGAGUCGAGUUGUUUGGGAAUGCAGCUCAAAUUGGGUGGUAAAUUCCAUCUAAAGCUAAAUAUUGGCGAGAGACCGAUAGCGAACAAGUACCGUGAGGGAAAGAUGAAAAGCACUUUGGAAAGAGAGUUAACAGUACGUGAAAUUGUUGGAAGGGAAACGCUUGAAGUCAGACUUGCUUGCCGGAGCUUGCUUCGGUUUGCAGGCCAGCAUCAGUUUUCCGGGGUGGAUAAUGACGGUUUGAAGGUAGCAGUCUCGGCUGUGUUAUAGCUUUCCGUUGGAUACAUCCUGGGGGACUGAGGAACGCAGCGUGCUUUUUGCGAAAGACUCGUCUUUUUCACGCUUAGGAUGCUGGUGGAAUGGCUUUAAACGACCCGUCUUGAAACAACGGACCA